rnacentral:snRNA from 12 species
AGCUUUGCGCAGUGGCAGUAUCGUAGCCAAUGAGGUUUAUCCGAGGCACGAUUAUUGCUAAUUGAAACCAUUAUACCAUCUACCCCUGCCCCCUCUUUUUUUCUACUCUAGCAAAACAAUACAACAAUGCCACGUCAUGAUUAAAGGAGAAGAAAUGUCCUCCUCUUUGAAAUAAAUGACUUACACCAUGAAAAGUGAGCACUUUUCUGUUUUUAAUCUUAGA